UAUAAUUAUUAAUUAAUUAUAUAUUAUAAUAGGUUAAUAAUUGAGAUGAUCAUGAAAUUUAAAAAAUUUGGCGGUAUUUUAUUCAAAUUAGAGGAAUUUGUUUAUUAAUAGAUAUUACCCAAUAAUCUUACUUAAUCUUAUUUAACUUAUAUAUCGUCGUUAUAAGAAUAUUUUAGUAAAGAAAAAUAAUUUUCUAUAUUUUUAAAUGAAAUUAUAUCAGAUCAAGGUGUAGUUAUGGUUAAGAAUGAAUGAAUUACAAUUUAUUUAUAAAAAUGGAUGUAUUUUUGAAAUAGAAAAUUAAAGGCGGAUUUAAUAGUAAAUUUAUUUUAGUAUAAAAAAUUGAUAUUAGUUUUAAAAUAUGUACAUAUUGCCCG
rnacentral:rRNA from 1 species